GACGAACGCUGGCGGCGUGCCUAAUACAUGCAAGUAGAACGCUGAAGCUUGGUGCUUGCACCGAGCGGAUGAGUUGCGAACGGGUGAGUAACGCGUAGGUAACCUGCCUGGUAGCGGGGGAUAACUAUUGGAAACGAUAGCUAAUACCGCAUAAGAGUAGAUGUUGCAUGACAUUUGCUUAAAAGGUGCAAUUGCAUCACUACCAGAUGGACCUGCGUUGUAUUAGCUAGUUGGUGAGGUAACGGCUCACCAAGGCAACGAUACAUAGCCGACCUGAGAGGGUGAUCGGCCACACUGGGACUGAGACACGGCCCAGACUCCUACGGGAGGCAGCAGUAGGGAAUCUUCGGCAAUGGACGGAAGUCUGACCGAGCAACGCCGCAUGAGUGAAGAAGGUUUUCGGAUCGUAAAGCUCUAUUGUAAGAGAAGAACGAGUGUGAGAGUGGAAAGUUCACACUGUGA
rnacentral:rRNA from 1 species